GAGCGAGUUGGCACACCACGUAGCAAUAGGCCUGGGGCAUUGAAUACCGAUAUACAAAUGUUGUUAGAUGAAUUCAAACUUGAUCCUACAAUUCCUCCUAGAAUUCCUCUCCACCUUUUGGUUACCAAACUCGAUCAGAGCAAACCCAUGAUGCCAUUGGGCUGGGGUGGCAGAUGAUCGAUCGAUCGAUCUUGGUUGGCUCUCUUGCUCUGAUUCAUGGAAAACCAUGUCUGGAAAAUUCAGAAAACAGAGAACUUCAGAAAAUUUUGAAAACAUAAACAAUACACACUAUUCAAAUGCAGCUAAUGCCGUGGAGAUGUCAACAUCAUCGCAAGGGAUUUUAACUUCUAACUUACAUUGAGAAAUGUUGUGUCAUUCCACACAGCCCGUUGCAGAAUACGCUUGGACUUGGUACCAACAUACAAGGGAGAGGCAUUCAUGUCAUUGACGAAGUUUUGGUCUAGAAGAACGUCUCCUGAACCAUCAGCUGCUGAGUUGAAUCGAGCAUGCAAAGCACCUUUAAGAUCGUACUGCCGACCAAUAUUUCGUCCAAAAGAAAGGUUCUCCAUCACCAUAAGGAGAAUUUACGGAGCUGUUAGUUUCCACAGCAAGCAUUCCAUUGCCAGUGGUUCUACCGUUGAUCACUCCUGAAUCUGAAGAGAGGAGUGAAUGCAGACGUUGAUCCCAGAUGCAUGAUUCAAGAAGGAGAUCACACAUAAGCCGGUUCAAACUGAGA